rnacentral:rRNA from 1 species
UGGCUGUCGUCAGCUCGUGUUGUGAAAUGUUGGGUUAAGUCCCGCAACGAGCGCAACCCUUAUCCUUUGUUGCCAGCGGUCCGGCCGGGAACUCAAAGGAGACUGCCAGUGAUAAACUGGAGGAAGGUGGGGAUGACGUCAAGUCAUCAUGGCCCUUACGACCAGGGCUACACACGUGCUACAAUGGCGCAUACAAAGAGAAGCGACCUCGCGAGAGCAAGCGGACCUCAUAAAGUGCGUCGUAGUCCGGAUUGGAGUCUGCAACUCGACUCCAUGAAGUCGGAAUCGCUAGUAAUCGUGGAUCAGAAUGCCACGGUGAAUACGUUCCCGGGCCUUGUACACACCGCCCGUCACACCAUGGGAGUGGGUUGCAAAAGAAGUAGGUAGCUUAACCUUCGGGAGGGCGCUUACCACUUUGUGAUUCAUGACUGGGGUGAAGUCGUAACAAGGUAACCGUAGGGGAACCUGCGGUUGGAUCACCUC